rnacentral:rRNA from 1 species
ACGUACAAGCAGUGGGAGCACCCUUCGGGGUGUGACUGCGUACCUUUUGUAUAAUGGGUCAGCGACUUAUAUUCUGUAGCAAGGUUAACCGUAUAGGGGAGCCGGAGGGAAACCGAGUCUUAAUUGGGCGUUAAGUUGCAGGGUAUAGACCCGAAACCCGGUGAUCUAGCCAUGGGCAGGUUGAAGGUUGGGUAACACUAACUGGAGGACCGAACCGACUAAUGUUGAAAAAUUAGCGGAUGACCUGUGGCUGGGGGUGAAAGGCCAAUCAAACCGGGAGAUAGCUGGUUCUCCCCGAAAGCUAUUUAGGUAGCGCCUCGUGAAUUCAUCUCCGGGGGUAGAGCACUGUUUCGGCUAGGGGGCCAUCCCGGCUUACCAACCCGAUGCAAACUGCGAAUACCGGAGAAUGUUAUCACGGGAGACACACGGCGGGUGCUAACGUCCGUCGUGAAGAGGGAAACAACCCAGACCGCCAGCUAAGGUCCCAAAGUCAUGGUUAAGUGGGAAACGAUGUGGGAAGGCCCAGACAGCCAGGAUGUUGGCUUAGAAGCAGCCAUCAUUUAAAGAAAGCGUAAUAGCUCACUGGUCGAGUCGGCCUGCGCGGAAGAUGUAACGGGGCUAAACCAUGCACCGAAGCUGCGGCAGCGAACGUAUCACC